rnacentral:rRNA from 1 species
UUACACGACCGUACCGCAAACCGACACUGGUGCGCGAGAUGAGUAUUCUAAGGCGCUUGAGAGAACUCAGGAGAAGGAACUCGGCAAAUUGACACCGUAACUUCGGAAGAAGGUGUGCCCUAUUAGUGUGAAGCGAACAGCGGAGCAUGAACGGGUUGCAAAAAAUCGGUGGCUGCGACUGUCUAUUAAAAACACAGCACUCUGCAAACACGAAAGUGGACGUAUAGGGUGUGACGCCUGCCCGGUGCUGGAAGAUUAAAUGAUGGGGUGCAAGCUCUUGAUUGAAGUCCCAGUAAACGGCGGCCGUAACAAUAACGGUCCUAAGGUAGCGAAAUUCCUUGUCGGGUAAGUUCCGACCUGCACGAAUGGCGUAACGAUGGCCACACUGUCUCCUCCUGAGACUCAGCGAAGUUGAAAUGUUUGUGAUGAUGCAAUCUCCCCGCGGAAAGACGGAAAGACCCCAUGAACCUUUACUGUAGCUUUGUAUUGGACUUUGAACAGAUCUGUGUAGGAUAGGUGGGAGGCUUUGAAGCAGGGUCGCUAGAUCUUGUGGAGCCAACGUUGAAAUACCACCCUGGUGUGUUUGAGGUUCUAACCUAGGUCCAUUAUCUGGAUCGGGGACAGUGCAUGGUAGGCAGUUUGACUGGGGCGGUCUCCUCCCAAAGCGUAACGGAGGAGUUCGAAGGUACGCUAGUUACGGUCGGACAUCGUGACGAUAGUGCAAUGGCAUAAGCGUGCUUAACUGCGAGACUGACAAGUCGAGCAGAUGCGAAAGCAGGACAUAGUGAUCCGGUGGUUCUGUAUGGAAGGGCCAUCGCUCAACGGAUAAAAGGUACUCUGGGGAUAACAGGCUGAUACCGCCCAAGAGUUCAUAUCGACGGCGGUGUUUGGCACCUCGAUGUCGGCUCAUCUCAUCCUGGGGCUGUAGCCGGUCCCAAGGGUAUGGCUGUUCGCCAUUUAAAGAGGUACGUGAGCUGGGUUCAAAACGUCGUGAGACAGUUUGGUCCCUAUCUUCCGUGGGCGCUGCAGAUUUGAGGAAGCCUGCUCCUAGUACGAGAGGACCGGAGUGGACACACCUCUGGUGUAUCGGUUGUCACGCCAGUGGCAUUGCCGAGUAGCUAAGUGUGGAAGAGAUAACCGCUGAAGCAUCUAAGCGGGAAACUCGUUUCAAGAUGAGAUCUGCCGGGGCCUUGAGCCCCCUGAAGAGUCGUUCAAGACCAGGACGUUGAUAGGUCAGGUGUGGAAGCGCAGUAAUGCGUUAAGCUAACUGAUACUAAUUGCUCGUGCGGCUUGACC